ACGAUGGUCCAGAAUUUGAUGUCAAUGAUGUUGAUCCAAUUAAAGAAGAGGAAGAAAACUUUGCCGGUGUAAUAUUACAAUUUGAGGUCCAUGUCGGCUUACACCAGGCCAAAAUGCCGUUAGAUUUUUCCAAUUGAAGGUUGAUAGAUUGGUAAUGACCCAGGGUCAAUAUCAACAUUACAAUAAUAACUGGAAGGAUCAAUAUCAAUCUCAUAGAAACAAUCAUCUUCCCGAUGUCUUUUCCUAAAAUCUUCAAUCGGAUGUUGAUUAACGUAAGUAACAUUAUCAUUAAGACAAUAAUUUCCACCACUAAUAUUAUUUAAAUUACUACAAUCAGUAUAAUUAUUAUUACUUUUAUUGACAAUAUUGGCAUUACUACUAUUAUUAUUUAGCUGAUUAUUAUUAGAGUUAUUAUGUUUAUUAUUUCUGGCACUUCGAUUACGAUUAUUUCCGUUUCCAGGUUCAUUUGAAAUACAAAUGUCAUUGGAAUCUACUGAAUUUGCUCUAGCAACAUUUUCUAAAUCAACUCUACCGCUACUGUAACCACUUCCACCUCCACCACCAACAAUACCACCGUUGUCACUACCACUUAGACCUCCACCUCCACCACCUCCACCUCCACCUCCACUUCCACUUCCGGAGUUUCCUCUUCCUCCUUUUGUUUUCCCAUUACUUUUUAUAUUACUUUUAACCGGCGAUCCAUGAUGAGAAUGAUGAUCUUUACUAGUUACAUUUUGGUCAACUGAUCGUUGAGAAUUAAUUGAUUUGAUUGUUGAUUGUGAUUCUAUCGUUGAUUUGGUUGUAGUAAUUAGAAUAUCCCCUGAAGAAGUUGAUGGUUUUUCUGUUGAUUCGGAUUCUCGUUGCUUAUCUCGUGUAGCAGCCAUCAAUCAAAUCAUCACAAUUUAAUUGUAGUAAUUGUUUGAUUGAUGUUACAUUAAUAAUGUUGCACCAAUCCUUAAAUCAACAAAUUGUGCAUCUCAUAUUUAAUGAUGAUGGUGAUGAAAAAUUGCGAUUAAGAUUUUAUGAUAACAAUGAGAACGUUAAUCCAAUCAAAUAAUCAGGGUAAAACUUUGUAUCCAUAACAAAAUUGAUUCUGUGAUUAAUUAAAUUGAAUAAUUCAUUUCCAAUACUAAUCCAAAUCAAAUCCAUUUCCAACCAUCCAAAAUAAACAACAACAUUAACAAAUAAUAAUCCUUGAUAAUGAUGUAUAAAUAUCUCUCGAUUUAAGUUAAUUAGUCGAUCAAUUAAUCAUCAGCAAAACAAUUAACCAGAACGGAGAUGAAAAAGUUGAAAAUCUAAUGAGACAAACGAAAAAAAAAAUUGAUGGAAAAAAAUUAGAAAAUUGAAAUAAUAUCAUAAAAGAUAAUCAAAUCUGAGUAUAAAUUGAUAACAUGGAAAUUCAAGUUCCAGAUAACUGAUAAUCGAAAAUCAUAACGGUAAAUGGUUAAUGAUAAUUACGAUAAUGAGACUGAGAAAAUGUGAACAUGAUAAUCGGAGGAACGAAAAUGAAAAAGUAGCUGAAAGAAAAUGAGUUUAGAUAAUAAUGAUAAUACGAAUUGUUAACAAUCUAAUUUCCUAUUAAACUGAACUUCAAUUAGAAAACAUUAUCUGAAACUUUUAUCGUUCACAUCAACUAACCCAUUUUAAGAUUGCUGAUAAUGCUUGUUAAUGUUGUUCUUGGUUCCUGUAAUUUCAAAUGAGAUUCAAUGUUUUCCCUCCCUGAUUUUACCAUGAUGAUGAUGAUGGAGUAAACAAUUCAUCAGAUUUUCAUUCAGAUUCAUCCAUGGGAAUUCAUCAUCAUGCUUAUCGUAAUCAUCUUCAUCCAUUAACCCUUUCCUAGCUAAUGAAAAUGUUAAUACUUUAACUUUCAAAUGAUUAUUUCAACUUUUGUUUUUUUAUCAAUCAUAUUAACAUGAUGAUAUUUGUCAAUAAGAAAUUCUGAUUCAUAUGAAAUUAUCAUGAUAAUUUUCAAUUCAAUUUAAAUAGAGCAUCAAUUUGAUUUUCUCCUUUUAAAUGAAUACAAGUAAUCAAUUCAAUGUAAAUAUUUGCUCGAUAUUUUCACCCCUUUUGGUGUAUGCAAAUAUAUAUUUCCACCCUGAAAUUUGAGCUCAGGGAGAAAAAGUUCACUUCCUUUUCUCUGCCCCGGAAUUUUCUUGAUACCCCAAUAGUUGAUUCACAUUUAAUUAAAUUUCAACGAAAGUUUAUCUCAGAAAACUUUGCAUUUCUUACAUGGGGAAAUUUGUAUUCUCAGUUGAAAAAGAUAACAUUUGAGUGUGAAUUCAUUCAUGGUUGUGAUUAGCUACCAUGUUAAAAGAAAGCUGAUUCAAUGAGCUUAUCAUGUUAGAACUUUUUUUUUAUCUGUUCGCUGAAUCAAUUUUAAUAGCCUCAAGCUGUUUGCUCUUUACUUCAAGUGACAAGAUGAGAUCUUUAUCAUCAUGAAAGAUGGGAUAACGAUAAUGUUCACAGAAUAAUUCAGAGACGAUAUUCUUAUCUUGGUGGAAAAAGGGUAAGUUAAUCGAUAACCAUGGAGAAGAUUUCUCAGAUUCCUUGAUUACUGGUGAAAGUUCAGCAAUACUGAUCCUGAUCUCCAACUUGAGAGCAACAUUUUUCCUCAUUCUUAGCUCAAUGGAUAUUCAUGAGAACUGUGAAUUCCAUGAGAUUCAUUUCAAUUCCAAAGAUUCAGAUGCUGCUUAUUUUCAAUACUGUCUAUAAUUUUCAUUGUUUUCUCAAAAUUUCUGAAUAAAAUCUGGUGAAACUCAACAUCCAUCAUGGUAAAAGGUAUCAUUUUGUAACAAAGAAAACAUUUUAAUAAAAUAAU